CUACCACCAAGGCGCUAUUUCUUUGUAUCCUCAAACGCAGAAGCAUGUCCUAGUUGCAUGUAACUUUUCUUUAUAUUUUACCGGAGAGCAUUUGGAGGUUGACUGUGUUCCCAAAUGCUCUCCGGUAAAAUAUAAAGAAAAGUUACAUGCAACUAGGACGUGUUUUGUGAAUUGGUGAUAAAAAGAAAUAGCGCCUUGGUGGUAGAAAAGUAGCAAUUUU
rnacentral:misc_RNA from 1 species